rnacentral:rRNA from 1 species
GGGGAAUAUUGGACGAUGGGGGGACUGCUGAUCCAGCCAUGCCGCGUGUGUGAAGAACGCCUUUUGGUUGUACAGCACUUUAAGCGAGGAGGCGGAUAUUGAAGUUAAUACCUUCAGAUCGUGGACGUUACUCGUAGAAUAAGCACCGGCUAACUCUGUGCAAGCAGCCGCGGUAAUACAGAGGGUGCAAGCGUUAAUCGGAUUUACUGGGCGUAAAGCGUGCGUAGGUGGCCAAUUAAGUCAAAUGUGAAAUCCCCGAGCUUAACUUGGGAAUUGCAUUCGAUACUGGUUGGCUAGAGUAUGGGAGAGGAUGGUAGAAUUCCAGGUGUAGCGGUGAAAUGCGUAGAGAUCUGGAGGAAUACCGAUGGCGAAGGCAGCCAUCUGGCCUAAUACUGACACUGAGGUACGAAAGCAUGGGGAGCAAACA